GAUGAACGCUGGCGGCGUGCUUAACACAUGCAAGUCGAACGAGAAGUGAAGACGGAAACCUUCGGGCGGAAGACUUUAUUUCGAGUGGCGGACGGGUGAGUAACGCGUGGGUAACCUGCCUCAUACAGGGGGAUAACAGUUGGAAACGACUGUUAAUACCGCAUAAGACCACAGCACCGCAUGGUGCGGGGGUAAAAACUCCGGUGGUAUGAGAUGGACCCGCGUUCGAUUAGCCAGUUGGCGGGGUAACGGCCCACCAAAGCGACGAUCGAUAGCCGAUCUGAGAGGAUGACCGGCCACAUUGGGACUGAGACACGGCCCAAACUCCUACGGGAGGCAGCAGUGGGGAAUAUUGCACAACGGGGGAAACCCUGAUGCAGCGACGCCGCGUGAGUGAAGAAGUAUUUCGGUAUGUAAAGCUCUAUCAGCAGGGAAGAAAAUGA
rnacentral:rRNA from 1 species